UACGGAGGAUCCAAGCGUUAUCCGGAUUUAUUGGGUUUAAAGGGUGCGUAGGCGGACUUAUAAGUCAGCGGUGAAAGUUUGCAGCUUAACUGUAAAAUUGCCGUUGAAACUGUUAGUCUUGAGUGUAAAUGAGGUAGGCGGAAUGUGUUGUGUAGCGGUGAAAUGCUUAGAUAUAACACAGAACACCAAUUGCGAAGGCAGCUUACUGGGAUACAACUGACGCUGAGGCACGAAAGCGUGGGGAUCAAACAGGAUUAGAUACCCUGGUAGUCCACGCAGUAAACGAUGAAUACUAGCUGUAUGCGAUAUACUGUAUGUGGCAAAGCGAAAGCGUUAAGUAUUCCACCUGGGGAGUACGUUCGCAAGAAUGAAACUCAAAGGAAUUGACGGGGGCCCGCACAAGCGGAGGAACAUGUGGUUUAAUUCGAUGAUACGCGAGGAACCUUACCCGGGCUUGAAAUGCAGACGACCGAAGUGGAAACACUUCUUCCAGCAAUGGCGUCUGUGUAGGUGCUGCAUGGUU
rnacentral:rRNA from 1 species